rnacentral:rRNA from 1 species
CGGGUAGCCGGCCUGAGAGGGCGACCGGCCACAUUGGGACUGAGAUACGGCCCAGACUCCUACGGGAGGCAGCAGUGGGGAAUAUUGCACAAUGGGCGAAAGCCUGAUGCAGCGACGCCGCGUGAGGGAUGACGGCCUUCGGGUUGUAAACCUCUUUCGCUCAUGGUCAAGCCGCAACAGUGGUUGUGGUGAGGGUAGUGGGUAAAGAAGCGCCGGCUAACUACGUGCCAGCAGCCGCGGUAAUACGUAGGGCGCGAGCGUUGUCCGGAAUUAUUGGGCGUAAAGGGCUUGUAGGCGGUUGGUCGCGUCUGCCGUGAAAUCCUCUGGCUUAACUGGGGGCGUGCGGUGGGUACGGGCUGACUUGAGUGCGGUAGGGGAGACUGGAACUCCUGGUGUAGCGGUGGAAUGCGCAGAUAUCAGGAAGAACACCGGUGGCGAAGGCGGGUCUCUGGGCCGUUACUGACGCUGAGGAGCGAAAGCGUGGGGAGCGAACAGGAUUAGAUACCCUGGUAGUCCACGCUGUAAACGUUGGGCACUAGGUGUGGGGGCCACCCGUGGUUUCUGCGCCGUAGCUAACGCUUUAAGUGCCCCGCCUGGGGAGUACGGCCGCAAGGCUAAAACUCAAAGGAAUUGACGGGGGCCCGCACAAGCGGCGGAGCAUGCGGAUUAAUUCGAUGCAACGCGAAGAACCUUACCAAGGCUUGACAUGCACGGCGGCACUGCAGAGAUGUGGUGGCAUUUAGUUGGUCGUGUGCAGGUGGUGCAUGGUUGUCGUCAGCUCGUGUCGUGAGAUGUUGGGUUAAGUCCCGCAACGAGCGCAACCCUUGCCCUAUGUUGCCAGCACGUUAUGGUGGGGACUCGUGGGGGACUGCCGGGGUUAACUCGGAGGAAGGUGGGGAUGACGUCAAAUCAUCAUGCCCCUUAUGUCUUGGGCUUCACGCAUGCUACAAUGGUUGGUAC